CGCAACGCGAAGAACCUUACCAAGGCUUGACAUAUAGCGAAAAGUGGCAGAGAUGUCAUGUCCGCAAGGGCGCUAUACAGGUGGUGCAUGGUUGUCGUCAGCUCGUGUCGUGAGAUGUUGGGUUAAGUCCCGCAACGAGCGCAACCCUCGUUCUGUGUUACCAGCAUUCAGUUGGGGACUCACAGGAGACUGCCGGGGUCAACUCGGAGGAAGGUGGGGAUGACGUCAAAUCAUCAUGCCCCUUAUGUCUUGGGCUGCACGCAUGCUACAAUGGCCGGUACAAAGUGCUGCGAGAUCGCAAGAUUGAGCGAAUCACAUAAAGCCGGUCUCAGUUCGGAUUGAGGUCUGCAACUCGACCUCAUGAAGUCGGAGUUGCUAGUAAUCGUAGAUCAGCAACGCUA
rnacentral:rRNA from 1 species